rnacentral:rRNA from 1 species
AUUGAACGCUGGCGGCAGGCCUAACACAUGCAAGUCGAACGAGUGGCGGACGGGUGAGUAAUGUCUGGGCAACUGCCUGAUGGAGGGGGAUAACUACUGGAAACGGUAGCUAAUACCGCAUACCAUCCGAUGUGACCAGAGGGGAUUAGCUAGUUGGUGGGGUAACGGCUCACCAAGGCGACGAUCCCUAGCUGGUCGGAGAGGAUGACCGGCCCGACUGGACCUGAGCCACCGUCCAGACUCCUCCGGGAGGCAGCAGUGGGAGAUAUUGCACAAUGGGCGAAAGCGUGCUGCAGCCACGCCGCGUGUAUGAAGAAGGCCUUCGGGUUGUCUAGUACUUUCAGCGGGGAGGCGUUACCCGCAGAAGAACCACCGGCUAACUCCGUGCCAGCCGCCGCGGUAAUAC